GGGGAUAUGGCGAAAUCGGUAGACGCUACGGACUUAAUUGAAUUGAGCCUUGGUAUGGAAACCCACUAAGUGAUAACUUUCAAAUUCAGAGAAACCCUGGAAUUAAUAAAAAGGGGCAAUCCUGAGCCAAAUCCCGUUUUCCGAAAACAAAGGUUCAGAAAGUGAAAAGGGGAUAGGUGCAGAGACUCAACGGAAGUUGUUCUAACAAAUGGAGUUGGCUGCAUUAGUAGAGAAAUCUUUCCAUCUAAAAUUCCGAAAGGGUAAAGUGAAGGAUAAACGUAUAUAUACGUAUUGAAUACUAUAUCAAAUGAUUAAUGACGACUCGACUAAAUCUGUAUUUUUUAUAUGAAAACGGAAGAAUUGGUGUGAAUAGAUUCCACAUUGAAGAAAGAAUCGAAUAGUCAUUGAUCAAAUGAUUCACUCCAUAGUCUGAUAGAUCUUUUCAAGAAUUGAUUAAUCGGACGAGAAUAAAGAUAGAGUCCUGUUCUACAUGUCAAUGUCGGCAACAAUGAAAUUUAUAGUAAGAGGAAAAUCCGUCGACUUUAAAAAUCGUGAGGGUUCAAGUCCCUCUAUCCCCAA
rnacentral:ncRNA from 1 species